UACGUAGGGUGCAAGCGUUGUCCGGAAUUAUUGGGCGUAAAGAGCUCGUAGGCGGUCUGUCACGUCGGAUGUGAAAACUCGGGGCUCAACCCCGAGCCUGCAUUCGAUACGGGCAGACUUGAGUUCGGCAGGGGAGACUGGAAUUCCUGGUGUAGCGGUGAAAUGCGCAGAUAUCAGGAGGAACACCGGUGGCGAAGGCGGCUUCUUGGGCCUUAACUGACGCUGAGGCGCGAAAGCUGGGGGAGCGAACGGG
rnacentral:rRNA from 1 species